rnacentral:rRNA from 1 species
UGGGGGAUAUUGCACAAUGGGGGGAACCCUGAUGCAGCAACGCCGCGUGAGUGAAGAAGUAUUUCGGUAUGUAAAGCUCUAUCAGCAGGGAAGAAAAUGACGGUACCUGACUAAGAAGCUCCGGCUAAAUACGUGCCAGCAGCCGCGGUAAUACGUAUGGAGCAAGCGUUAUCCGGAUUUACUGGGUGUAAAGGGAGCGUAGGCGGCAGGGCAAGUCAGAUGUGAAAGCCCGGGGCCCAACCCCGGGACUGCAUUUGAAACUGUCCUGCUGGAGUGUCGGAGAGGUAAGUGGAAUUCCUAGUGUAGCGGUGAAAUGCGUAGAUAUUAGGAGGAACACCAGUGGCGAAGGCGGCUUACUGGACGAUUACUGACGCUGAGGCUCGAAAGCGUGGGGAGCAAACAGG